rnacentral:rRNA from 1 species
UAAGUGAAGAGUUUGAUCCUGGCUCAGAGUGAACGCUGGCGGUAGGCCUAACACAUGCAAGUCGAACGGCAGCACAGUAAGAGCUUGCUCUU